GAUGAACGCUAGCGGCAGGCUUAAUACAUGCAAGUCGUGGGGCAGCAUGACUGUAGCAAUACAGUUGAUGGCGACCGGCAAACGGGUGCGGAACACGUACAAAACCUUCCUUUAAGUGGGGAAUAGCCCAGAGAAAUUUGGAUUAAUACCCCGUAACAUAAUGGAGUGGCAUCGCUUUAGUAUUAUAGCUCCGGCGCUUAAAGCUGGGUGUGCGGCUGAUUAGAUAGUUGACGGGGUAACGGCCCACCAAGUCCAGGGUCAGUAACUGGUGUGAAAGCACGAUCAGUCACUCGGGCACUGAGACACAGGCCCGACUCCUACGGGAGGCAUCAGUAAGGAAUAUUGGUCAAUGGACGCAAGUCUGAACCAGCCAUGCCGCGUGGAGGAUGAAGGUCCUCUGGAUUGUAAACUUCUUUUAUUUGGGAAAAAAUCUAUCUUUUCUUGGAUAGUUGACGGUACCAGAUGAAUAAGCACCGGCUAACUCCGUGCCAGCCGCCGCAGUAACAC
rnacentral:rRNA from 1 species